rnacentral:rRNA from 1 species
CCUACGGGUGGCAGCAGUGGGGAAUAUUGGGCAAUGGAGGCAACUCUAACCCAGUAACGCCGCGUGAAUGAUGAAGGUCUUCGGAUUGUAAAGUUCUGUGAUGGGGGAUGAACACAAUGACGGUCCCCCAAUAGCAAGCCACGGCUAACUACGUGCCAGCAGCCGCGGUAAUACGUAGGUGGCAAGCGUUAUCCGGAAUGACUGGGCGUCAAGGGAGCGUAGGCCGGUCUUUAAGCCUGCCGGGAAAUUUUGUGGCUCAACCAUGAGAGUGCGGCGCGAACUGGAGACCUUGAAUGCGCGGAAGGCAGGCGGAAUUCGUGGUGUAGCGGUGAAAUGCUUAGAUAUCACGAAGAACCCCGAUUGCGAAGGCAGCCUGCCGCAGCGUAACUGACGCUGAAGCUCGAAAGCGCGGGUAUCGAACAGGAUUAGAUACCCUUGUAGUC